rnacentral:rRNA from 1 species
AGGUUAAGUUAUGAAGGGCGCAUGGUGAAUGCCUUGGUACUAGGAGCCGAUGAAGGACGGGACUAACACCGAUAUGCUUCGGGGAGCGGUAAGUACGCUUUGAUCCGGAGAUUUCCGAAUGGGGAAACCCAACCAACUUAGUCGUUGGUUGCUUGACUAGUGAAUCUAUAGCUAGCAAGCGGUAGACGCAGUGAACUGAAACAUCUCAGUAGCUGCAGGAAGA